rnacentral:rRNA from 1 species
UACGUAGGGUGCAAGCGUUGUCCGGAAUCAUUGGGCGUAAAGCGCGCGUAGGUGGCUUCGUAAGUCCGUUGUGAAAGUCAAAGGCUCAACCUUUGAAUGCCGAUGGAUACUGCGAAGCUAGAGUACGGAAGAGGCGAGUGGAAUUCCUGGUGUAGCGGUGGAAUGCGCAGAUAUCAGGAGGAACACCCGUAGCGAAGGCGGCACUCUGGGCCGGUACUGACGCUGAGGAGCGAAAGCGUGGGGAGCAAACAGG